AUGACAAGCCACGUGCACAGUAAGGAUGGAUCGUCUUGGUGGGUAACGGUGGUUUAUGGACCGCAAGGGGAUGAUCUUAAAUUGCAAUUCCUCACUGAUUUGCAACAAUGGAGGGCCACUUGUCCAGGGCCAUGGAUGGUGCUCAGCGACUUCAACAUGAUCACUAGUGCCGCAGAUAAAAACAAUAGCAACCUGAACCAUCACAUCAUGAGGAAAUUCAGGGAGUUCAUAGAUGACAAUGAGCUCAAAGAGCUUUACAUGCACGGAAGGAGGUUUACUUGGACCAAUGAGAGGGAUGCCCCUAUGAUGACUAAGAUUGACAGAGUGCUAGUCACUGUGGACUGGGAACUCACGUUUACAGACAAUUUGCUUCAAGUUUUGUCGACCAAUGUGUCGGAUCAUGCACUACUACACCUAUCUACCUCUGCCCCAUUCUACCAGCAGAAGAGGUUUAGGUUCGAGAUAUACUGGACCAAGCUCGAGGGAUUUGAGCAAGCUGUGAAGGAUGCUUGGGUUUGUGAUGAGGAUAUUGUCGACCCGUAUAAACGGUUGGAUGCAUUACUGAGAAACACGGCAACGACAUUGCAAGCAUGGGGUGAGAGAAAGACGGGUAACAUUAAGCUAAAGCUUGCGGUGGCGAACAAUGUGAUCCUCCGGCUAGACUGUGCGCAGGAGCGUAGAAAUCUGACACAGGAGGAACUAUGGUUAUGA
rnacentral:rRNA from 1 species